rnacentral:rRNA from 1 species
GACGAACGCUGGCGGCGUGCUUAACACAUGCAAGUCGAACGGUGAAGCGCCUUCCUUUUUGGUGGGUGUGGAUGAGUGGCGAACGGGUGAGUAACACGUUAGUAACCUGCCCCCUUCUUCUGGAUAACCGCAUGAAAGUGUGGCUAAUACGGGAUAUUCUGGGUCUGUCGCAUGAUGGGUCUGGGAAAGAUAUUGUUUCGGUGGGGGAUGGGCUCGCGGCCUAUCAGCUUGUUGGUGGGGUGAUGGCCUACCAAGGCGGUGACGGGUAGCCGGCCUGAGAGGGUGGGCGACCACACUGGGAAUGAGACACGGCGCAGACUCCUACGGGAGGCAGCAGUGAGGAAUAUUGCACGAUGGGCGCAAGCCUGAUGCAGCGACGCCUCGUGAGGGAUGGAGGCCUGCGGGUUGUGAACCUCUUUCGCCAGUGAAGCAGGCCUGCCUCGUCUGUGGGUGGGUUGACGGUAGCUGGAUAAGAAGCGCCGGCUAACUACGUG